GGGAAUGUGGCUUAGUGGAGAGUACUUGCUUAACAUGCAUGAAGCCCUGGGUUCGAUUCCUCAGUACCA
rfam:Dipodomys ordii contig_18494, whole genome shotgun sequence.